rnacentral:rRNA from 1 species
CCUACGUGCGGCAGCAGUAGGGAAUCUUCCACAAUGGGCGAAAGCCUGAUGGAGCAACGCCGCGUGGGUGAAGACGGUCUUCGGAUCGUAAAACCCUGUUGUUAGAGAAGAACGUUCGUGAGAGUAACUGUUCACGUUUCGACGGUAUCUAACCAGAAAGCCACGGCUAACUACGUGCCAGCAGCCGCGGUAAUACGUAGGGGGCGAGCGUUAUCCGGAUUUAUUGGGCGUAAAGCGAACGCAGGCGGUCUUUUAAGUCUAAUGUGAAAGCCUUCGGCUUAACCGGAGUAGUGCAUUGGAAACUGGGAGACUUGAGUGCAGAAGAGGAGAGUGGAAGUCCAGGUGUAGGGGUGAAAUGCGUAGAUAUAUGGAAGAACACCAGUGGCGAAGGCGACUCUCUGGUCUGUAACUGACGCUGAGGUGCGAAAGCGUGGGUAGCAAACAGGAUUAGAUACCCGGGUAGUC